UACAGAGGGUGCGAGCGUUAAUCGGAAUUACUGGGCGUAAAGCGUGCGUAGACGGCUAUCUAAGUCGGGUGUGAAAGCCCCGGGCUCAACCUGGGAAUUGCAUUCGAGACUGAAUAGCUAGGGUACGGUAGAGGGAAGUGGAAUUUCCGGUGUAGCGGUGAAAUGCGUAGAUAUCGGAAGGAACAUCAGUGGCGAAAGCGACACCCUGGACCAGCACUGACACUGAGGCACGAAAGCGUGGGGAGCAAACAGG
rnacentral:rRNA from 1 species